GCCCGGAUGGCGGAAUUGGUAGACGCGUCAGACUCAAAAUCUGGUAUCUUCACGGAUGUGCAGGUUCGAUUCCUGUUCCGGGCA
rnacentral:tRNA from 1 species